rnacentral:rRNA from 1 species
UGGCGGCGUGCCUAAUACAUGCAAGUCGAGCGAACAGAUGAGAAGCUUGCUUCUCUGAUGUUAGCGGCGGACGGGUGAGUAACACGUGGGUAACCUACCUAUAAGACUGGGAUAACUCCGGGAAACCGGGGCUAAUACCGGAUAAUAUUUUGAACCGCAUGGUUCAAUAGUGAAAGACGGUUUCGGCUGUCACUUAUAGAUGGACCCGCGCCGUAUUAGCUAGUUGGUAAGGUAACGGCUUACCAAGGCGACGAUACGUAGCCGACCUGAGAGGGUGAUCGGCCACACUGGAACUGAGACACGGUCCAGACUCCUACGGGAGGCAGCAGUAGGGAAUCUUCCGCAAUGGGCGAAAGCCUGACGGAGCAACGCCGCGUGAGUGAUGAAGGUCUUCGGAUCGUAAAACUCUGUUGUUAGGGAAGAACAAAUUUGUUAGUAACUGAACAAGUCUUGACGGUACCUAACCAGAAAGCCACGGCUAACUACGUGCCAGCAGCCGCGGUAAUACGUAGGUGGCAAGCGUUAUCCGGAAUUAUUGGGCGUAAAGCGCGCGUAGGCGGUUUCUUAAGUCUGAUGUGAAAGCCCACGGCUCAACCGUGGAGGGUCAUUGGAAACUGGGAAACUUGAGUGCAGAAGAGGAGAGUGGAAUUCCAUGUGUAGCGGUGAAAUGCGCAGAGAUAUGGAGGAACACCAGUGGCGAAGGCGGCUCUCUGGUCUGUAACUGACGCUGAUGUGCGAAAGCGUGGGGAUCAAACAGGAUUAGAUACCCUGGUAGUCCACGCCGUAAACGAUGAGUGCUAAGUGUUAGGGGGUUUCCGCCCCUUAGUGCUGCAGCUAACGCAUUAAGCACUCCGCCUGGGGAGUACGACCGCAAGGUUGAAACUCAAAGGAAUUGACGGGGACCCGCACAAGCGGUGGAGCAUGUGGUUUAAUUCGAAGCAACGCGAAGAACCUUACCAAAUCUUGACAUCCUUUGACCGCUCUAGAGAUAGAGUCUUCCCCUUCGGGGGACAAAGUGACAGGUGGUGCAUGGUUGUCGUCAGCUCGUGUCGUGAAGAUGUUGGGUUAAGUCCCGCAACGAGCGCAACCCUUAAGCUUAGUUGCCAUCAUUAAGUUGGGCACUCUAGGUUGACUGCCGGUGACAAACCGGAGGAAGGUGGGGAUGACGUCAAAUCAUCAUGCCCCUUAUGAUUUGGGCUACACACGUGCUACAAUGGAUAAUACAAAGGGCAGCGAAUCCGCGAGGCCAAGCAAAUCCCAUAAAAUUAUUCUCAGUUCGGAUUGUAGUCUGCAACUCGACUACAUGAAGCUGGAAUCGCUAGUAAUCGUAGAUCAGCAUGCUACGGUGAAUACGUUCCCGGGUCUUGUACACACCGCCCGUCACACCACGAGAGUUUGUAACACCCGAAGCCGGUGGAGUAACCUUUUAGGAGCUAGCCGUCGAAGGUGGGACAAAUGAU